GAUGAAGAACGUAGCGAAAUGCGAUAAGUAAUGUGAAUUGCAGAAUUCAGUGAAUCAUCGAAUCUUUGAACGCACAUUGCGCCCAUUAGCAUUCUAGUGGGCAUGCCUGUUCGAGCGUCAUUUCAACCCUUAAGCCCUGUUGCUUAGCGUUGGGAGCCUACAGUACUGUAGCUCCCCAAAGUUAGUGGCGGAGUCGGUUUCACACUCUAGACGUAGUAAUUUUUUCUCGUCUGUAGUUGAGCCGGUCCCCUGCCGUAAAACACCCAAUUUAUCAAGGUUGACCUCGGAUCAGGUAGGAAUACCCGCUGAACUUAAACAUAUCAAUAAGCGGAGGA
rnacentral:misc_RNA from 1 species